rnacentral:rRNA from 1 species
GACGAACCGGUGCGAACGUUGUUCGGAUUCACUGGGCUUAAAGGGCGCGUAGGCGGGCGGUCAAGUCGGGGGGUGAAAUCUUUCAGCUUAACUGGAAAAGUGCCUCCGAUACUGAUCGCCUCGAGGGAGGUAGGGGCAUGUGGAACUUCCGGUGGAGCGGUGAAAUGCGUAGAUAUCGUAAGGAAGACCAGCGGACGAAGGCGAGUUCCUGGACAGUAACUGA